rnacentral:lncRNA from 1 species
GCGCCAGGCAGGGCCUGUCCCGCCUGGGGAGACUGCGCCCGGGAUAAUAGGAGCGCUUGGCCUCUGAGACUACCCGGCAGAAGGGACGUCCCCAAAUGACACUCGGAGGCCGCCUCCCUGGGCUCCGGUGCUCGGUGCCGGGAGGAGCGGCACGGCUUUCUACCCCGCCUCAGGUGCGCCAGCACGUUUUCUGGGCAGCAUCUGUGUGUUAGGCGACCGGAGAGGUGGGUUCCUUAUAGGGAAUAAGAAAACUGAAACUGACUUCCAACUGCAGGCAGAAGGAAGCAGUGGUCAUUGCUGGAGGUUAAAACUGUUCUGACCGGGCGCAGUGGCUCACGCCUGUAUUCCCAGCACUUUGGGAGGCUGAGGCGAGCAGAUCACGAAGUCAGGAGAUCAAGACCAUCCUGGCCAACAAGGUGAAACCCCGGCUCUACUAAAAAUACAAAAAUUAGCUGGGCGUGGUGGCGCGCGCCGGAAGUCCCAGCUACUUGGGAGGAUGAGGCAGAAGAAUCGCUUGAACCCGGGAGGCGGAGGUUGCGGUGAGCCGAGAUCGCGCCAUUGCACUCCAGCCUGGCGACUCAGCGAUACUCCGUCCCCCUCUCCCCGCCCCAAGAAAAAUCUGUUCAGUGGGGAGCGACAAGGAAGGAGCUUUCAGCCCGACUGGGGUCGCAGGGAAGAAUUCAAGAUGGCGUGUUUAGGAGCUCUAGCUCCUUGACAAAUUAGUAAAAUGUUAGUCUUAGGAGAAGAACGAAAAGGCUCUCCUAGGCUAAGAAACAGCAUACACAGUGAGAAACCUCAGAAGAAAUAAAAUUCAAGGAAGAUAGCAACAACGAAAACAUCAGAAGGAACACUAAAGUAGUCAAAUCAGCCUAGCAGAAACAAAGUACGUUAACCAAUGGAAAACUGACGGAGAGAAAUAAACUGUUUUUGCACAGCUAAAUGGAAAUGACUUUUGAAUUAUCUGCUUUGGAAGAUUAUCCAUGACACUGUUCUGCCCUGCUCUGCUCUAACAACAUUUUGCCUAAGUCCUGAAUGACAACAAAAGACUGAAGAACUGACAACGAUUAGAGGACACUAAGGAGACUUAACAACUAAAUGCAAAAUGGGACCCUGAAUCUGAUCCUGGAACACAAAAACUAAAUUAGUAGAAAAGUGGUAAAAUAGGUGGUCGCGCGCCCGACCGCCGCAGUCCCAGUCGAGCCGCGACCCUUCCGGCUGCCCCCACCCCACCUCGCCGCCAUGUGCCUCCGCCGCCCAGCGCUGUUCCCGGGCGUGGCGCUGCUUCUCGCCGCGGCCCGCCUCGCGGCUGCCUCCGACGUGCUAGGACUCAGGGACGACAACUUGGAGAGUCGCAUCUCCGACACGGGCUCUGCGGGCCUCAUGCUCGUCGAGUUCUUCGCCCCCUGGUGUGGACACUGCAAGAGACUUGCUCCUGAGUAUGAAGCUGCAGCUACCAGAUUAAAAGGAAUAGUCCCAUUAGCAAAGGCUGAUUGCACUGCCAACACUAACACCUGUAAUAAAUAUGGAGUCAGUGGAUAUCCAACCCUGAAUAUGUUUAGAGAUGGUGAAGAAGCAGGUGCUUAUGAUGGACCUAGGACUGCUGAUGGAAUUGUCAGCCACCUGAAGAAGCAGGCAGGCCCAGCUUCAGUGCCUCUCAGGACUGAGGAAGAAUUUAAGAAAUUCAUUAGUGAUAAAGAUGCCUCUAUAGUAGGUUUUUUCGAUGAUUCAUUCAGUGAAGCUCACUCCGAGUUCCUAAAAGCAGCCAGCAACUUGAGGGAUAACUACCGAUUUGCACAUACGAAUGUUGAGUCUCUGGUGAACGAGUAUGAUGAUAACGGAGAUGGUAUCAUCUUAUUUCGUCCUUCACAUCUCACUAACAAGUUGGAGGACAAGACUGUGGCAUAUACAGUGCAAAAAAUGACCAGUGGCAAAAUUAAAAAGUUUAUCCAGGAAAACAUUUUUGGUAUCUGCCCUCACAUGACAGAAGACAAUAAAGAUUUGAUACAGGGCAAGGACUUACUUAUUGCUUACUAUGAUGUGGACUAUGAAAAGAAUGCUAAAGGUUCCAACUACUGGAGAAACAGGGUAAUGAUGGUGGCAAAGAAAUUCCUGGAUGCUGGGCACAAACUCAACUUUGCUGUAGCUAGCCGCAAAACCUUUAGCCAUGAACUUUCUGAUUUUGGCUUGGAGAGCACUGCUGGAGAGAUUCCUGUUGUUGCUAUCAGAACUGCUAAAGGAGAGAAGUUUGUCAUGCAGGAGGAUUUCUCGCGUGAUGGGAAUGCUCUGGAGAGGUUCCUGCAGGAUUACUUUGAUGGCAAUCUGAAGAGAUACCUGAAGUCUGAACCUAUCCCAGAGAGCAAUGAUGGGCCUGUGAAGGUAGUGGUAGCAGAGAAUUUUGAUGAAAUAGUGAAUAAUGAAAAUAAAGAUGUGCUGAUUGAAUUUUAUGCCCCUUGGUGUGGUCACUGUAAGAACCUGGAGCCCAAGUAUAAAGAACUUGGCGAGAAGCUCAGCAAAGACCUGAAUAUCGUCAUAGCCAAGAUGGAUGCCACAGCCAAUGAUGUGCCUUCUCCAUAUGAAGUCAGAGUUUUCCUACCAUAUACUUCUCUCCAGCCAACAAGAAGCUAAAUCCAAAGAAAUAUGAAGGUGGCCAUGAAUUAAGUGAUUUUAUUAGCUAUCUACAACGAGAAGCUACAAACCCCCCUGUAAUUCAAGAAGAAAAACCCAAGAAGAAGAAGGCACAGGAGGAUCUCUAAAGCAGUAGGCAAACACCACUUUGUAAAAGGACUCUUCCACCAGAGAUGGGAAAACCACUGGGGAGGACUAGGACCCAUAUGGGAAUUAUUACGUCUCAGGGCCGAGAGGACAGAAUGGAUAUAAUCUGAAUCCUGUUAAAUUUUCUCUAAGCCAUUUCUUAGCUGCACUGUUAUGGAAAUACCAGGACCAGUUUAUGUUUGUGGUUUUGGGAAAAAUUAUUGGUGUUGGGGGAAAUGUUGUGGGAGUCGGGUUGAGUUGGGGGUAUUUUCUAAUUUUUUUGUGCAUUUGGAACAGUGACAAUAAAUAAGACCCCUUUAAACUGUAAAAAAAAAAAAAAUAGGAAUGCGGUCCAUGGUUUACUUAAUCGUAUAAUAUCAGUGUUCAUUUUCUUAUUUUGAUAAUUGUCAUAAUGUUGUGUGAAAUAUUCUCUUUAGGGAGCCUGGGAAAGAAUAUAUAAGAACUCUACUAUUUUUGUAACUUUUGUGGAGGACUGCAAUCAUUUCUAAAUAAAUAGUCUUAAAAAUAACUAAAGUAAUAAAAAUAAU